rnacentral:rRNA from 1 species
GGACGUUAGAUGUCGACUUGGAGGUUGUGCCCUUGAGGCGUGGCUUCCGGAGCUAACGCGUUAAGUCGACCGCCUGGGGAGUACGGCCGCAAGGUUAAAACUCAAAUGAAUUGACGGGGGCCCGCACAAGCGGUGGAGCAUGUGGUUUAAUUCGAUGCAACGCGAAGAACCUUACCUACUCUUGACAUCCAGAGAACUUAGCAGAGAUGCUUUGGUGCCUUCGGGAACUCUGAGACAGGUGCUGCAUGGCUGUCGUCAGCUCGUGUUGUGAAAUGUUGGGUUAAGUCCCGCAACGAGCGCAACCCUUAUCCUUUGUUGCCAGCGCGUAAUGGCGGGAACUCAAAGGAGACUGCCGGUGAUAAACCGGAGGAAGGUGGGGAUGACGUCAAGUCAUCAUGGCCCUUACGAGUAGGGCUACACACGUGCUACAAUGGCGUAUACAAAGGGAAGCGACCCUGCGAAGGCAAGCGGAACUCAUAAAGUACGUCGUAGUCCGGAUUGGAGUCUGCAACUCGACUCCAUGAAGUCGGAAUCGCUAGUAAUCGUAGAUCAGAAUGCUACGGUGAAUACGUUCCCGGGCCUUGUACACACCGCCCGUCACACCAUGGGAGUGGGUUGCAAAAGAAGUAGGUAGCUUAACCUUCGGGAGGGCGCUUACCACUUUGUGAUUCAUGACUGGGGUGAAGUCUAAAAGGGGGGAAACCAAAUAUUUAUAAAUUAAGGAUCAGGCGAUCCUUGAG